AUUGAACGCUGGCGGAAUGCUUUACACAUGCAAGUCGAACGGCAGCACGGACUUCGGUCUGGUGGCGAGUGGCGAACGGGUGAGUAAUACAUCGGAACGUGCCCGGACGUGGGGGAUAACUACUCGAAAGAGUGGCUAAUACCGCAUACGAUCCAAGGAUGAAAGCGGGGGAUCGCAAGACCUCGCGCGUUUGGAGCGGCCGAUGGCAGAUUAGGUAGUUGGUGAGGUAAAGGCUUACCAAGCCUGCGAUCUGUAGCUGGUCUGAGAGGAUGAUCAGCCACACUGGGACUGAGACACGGCCCAGACUCCUACGGGAGGCAGCAGUGGGGAAUUUUGGACAAUGGGCGAAAGCCUGAUCCAGCCAUUCCGCGUGCAGGAUGAAGGCCCUCGGGUUGUAAACUGCUUUUGUACGGAACGAAAAGGCUCUUGCUAAUACCAGGAGUCCAUGACGGUACCGUAAGAAUAAGCACCGGCUAACUACGUGCCAGCAGCC
rnacentral:rRNA from 1 species